rnacentral:rRNA from 1 species
UACAGAGGGGGCAAGCGUUAUUCGGAAUUAUUGGGCGUAAAGGGCGCGUAGGCGGCCUGGCAAGUGGAAGGUGAAUCCCUCGGCUUAACCGAGGAACUGCCCUCCAAACUGCUUGGCUUGAGUCCGGGAGAGGUGAGUGGAAUUCCCAGUGUAGCGGUGAAAUGCGUAGAUAUUGGGAGGAACACCAAUGGCGAAGGCAGCACUCUGGGACGUGACUGACGCUGAGACGCGAAAGCGUGGGAGCAAACAGG